rnacentral:rRNA from 1 species
ACGGAAGGCAGCAGUGGGGAAUAUUGCACAAUGGGCGAAAGCCUGAUGCAGCGACGCCGCGUGAGUGAUGAAGUAUUUCGGUAUGUAAAGCUCUAUCAGCAGGGAAGAUAAUGACGGUACCUGACUAAGAAGCACCGGCUAAAUACGUGCCAGCAGCCGCGGUAAUACGUAUGGUGCAAGCGUUAUCCGGAUUUACUGGGUGUAAAGGGAGCGCAGGCGGUACGGCAAGUCUGAUGUGAAAGCCCGGGGCUCAACCCCGGUACUGCAUUGGAAACUGUCGAACUAGAGUGUCGGAGGGGUAAGUGGAAUUCCUAGUGUAGCGGUGAAAUGCGUAGAUAUUAGGAGGAACACCAGUGGCGAAGGCGACUUACCGGACGAUAACUGACGCUGAGGCUCGAAAGCGUGGGGAGCAAACAGGAUUAGAUACCCUGGUA